UACGUAGGGACCAAGCGUUGUUCGGAUUUACUGGGCGUAAAGGGCGCGUAGGCGGCUUAACAAGUCACUUGUGAAAUCUCCGGGCUUAACUCGGAACGGCCAAGUGAAACUGUCAAGCUAGAGUGCAGAAGGGGCAAUCGGAAUUCUCGGUGUAGCGGUGAAAUGCGUAGAUAUCGAGAGGAACACCUGCGGCGAAGGCGGGUUGCUGGGCUGACACUGACGCUGAUGCGCGAAAGCUAGGGGAGCGAACGGG
rnacentral:rRNA from 1 species